rnacentral:tRNA from 1 species
GCUCAGUUGGUUAAGCGUCCAACUCUUGACUUUGACUCAGGUUGAUCUCACAGUUUGUGAGUUCAAGCCUCACAUUGGGCU